AUUGAACGCUGGCGGCAUGCCUUACACAUGCAAGUCGAACGGCAGCGGACCUUCGGGUGCCGGCGAGUGGCGAACGGGUGAGUAAUAUAUCGGAACGUACCUUUCAGUGGGGGAGUAACGUAGCGAAAGUUACGCUAAUACCGCAUAUUCUGUGAGCAGGAAAGCAGGGGAGUCGCAAGACCUUGCGCUGAUUGAGCGGCCGAUAUCAGAUUAGCUAGUUGGUGAGGUAAAGGCUCACCAAGGCGACGAUCUGUAGCGGGUCUGAGAGGAUGAUCCGCCACACUGGAACUGAGACACGGUCCAGACUCCUACGGGAGGCAGCAGUGGGGGAAUUUUGGACAAUGGGCGCAAGCCUGAUCCAGCCAUGCCGCGUGAGUGAAGAAGGCCU
rnacentral:rRNA from 1 species